UACGGAGGGGGCAAGCGUUAUUCGGUCUAACUAGGCGUAAAGGGUCCGUAGGCGGUUAAAAAAGUUGAAAGCAAAAGCCAAAGGCUUAACCUUUGAAAGAUUUUCAAAAACUAUUUAACUAGAGUAUUACAGGGGAUAGUGGAAUUUCUGUAGUAGGGAUGGAAUCCAUUGAUAACAGAAGGAACACCAGUGGCGAAGGCG
rnacentral:rRNA from 1 species